GAGUUUUGAUCCUGGCUCAGGAUGAACGCUGGCGGCGUGCUUAACACAUGCAAGUCGAGCGAAAAUAAUUGAGAGCUUGCUUUUGUAUUAUUUUAGCGGCGGACGGGUGAGUAACGUGUGGGUAACCUGCCUUUUACUGUGGAAUAAUCGUUGGAAACGACGACUAAUACCGCAUACGGUUCUUGGAAGGCAUCUUCUAAGAAAGAAAGGAUUUAUUCGGUAAAAGAUGGGCCCGCAUCUGAUUAGCUAGUUGGUGAGAUAAUAGCCCACCAAGGCAACGAUCAGUAGCCGACCUGAGAGGGUGACCGGCCACAUUGGGACUGAGACACGGCCCAAACUCCUACGGGAGGCAGCAGUGGGGAAUAUUGCACAAUGGGCGAAGGCCUGAUGCAGCAACGCCGCGUGAAGGAAGACGGUUUUCGGAUUGUAAACUUCUAUCAAUAGGGAAGAAAGAAAUGACGGUACCUAAAUAAGAAGCCCCGGCUAACUACGUG
rnacentral:rRNA from 1 species